rnacentral:rRNA from 1 species
AUGGCCAAGUAUUUCUGGAGUAGUUCUCUUAACAAAAGAUCAAUGCAUUGGGUGUCUUGGAAGGAGCUUGCAACGCCCAAGUGCAAAGGCGGUAUGGGUUUCAGAGACCCACAUAUGUUCAAUCUUGCCAUGUUGGGGAAGCACGGAUGGCGUUUUCUAACGAACCCUGAUUCCCUUUGUGCAAGAGUAUUGAAGGGACGGUACUUUCCUGAUACGGAUUUUAUGCAUGCUGCCUUACCCAAGUCGGCUUCGACCACUUGGAAAGCUAUUAUAGCAGGAAGAGAAGCCCUUCGGACCGGCUUGAUCUCCCGUGUUGGAGAUGGCGCUACUAUUGAUGUAUGGGAUGAUAGAUGGAUCCCA